GAAAAUAAAACUUCUUCCUGGACACCUGAAUCAAAGACCAGUAGAAAGAGUUUGCUAAAAUCUGAAAAAGAAAAAAAAAUUUCAGAAGAAUGGGGCUUUAAGGAUAUUUCUACUGCUCAGCAAAUGUUGAAGAGGGCACAGAAAAUGAAAUCGAAGAAACUAAAGAAAAAAAUAGAUUCCACUGUGCGUCUAGCCUUAUUCAAAAACAAUGAAAAUAAAGUGUCUCUUCCAAAAUCACCAAAGAUGGUACAGCCCAGAAGAGAUGGUUACUUUGAAGGUAUAGAAGAAGACCCUAUCCACAAAGAUACCACUGCAAAUGAAAAAUUAGAACGGAAUAGAGAAUAUACAUACCAAUGGCUUCACACACAGGUUGGGGUUCAUGAAACGACUAGUUCCAGAAAUAUGAAAUGCAAUCACUUUUUGCCUGAGUUAGAUCCAGAUGUACUUAAUGGUGGAAGAGUUCAGCUUGUGGCAAGACUUGUAAGCAGAGAAGACACGGAUUUAGACCUUUUUUCCAUGACCAAUGGAAGUGCUUUGUCUGUGAACAGAGAAAAAAAAAAUCAGGCACACAGACACUCAGCAGGAUCUUCAAGUUGUUCAGUUAAGGGAAUACCAAUAUCGCCAAUAAUAACAAAUACAAGACCUUCUAAAAAAGAACGUAUAUCAUUCCGAGACAAUCCUGUACAACUCAGUGGUGGAUGGGGAAGUGGCAAAAAGAAGGCGAACAUUUCCAACUAAUCCUUAAGGCUUCAGCAUUCAAAACAUGUGGCAAACUGUUUCAUGAAGUCUGGAUAUCUAGUCAUGUUACCAACUGGAUACAAGGUUUUAGACUCCUAUAUUUAAUUUGGUUUAUUAUACGUAUUUCACAAGUUUGUUUUCUAGUGGAGCUAUCUUAUUUCUCUUCUAUAAAAUGUAGUUUUGCAUUUCUUCCUGUGUUCAUGUGGAAUGGCCUCCAGAAAAUUCUUAAGAUAUUGUAAUGGAACUUGCAUAUCCAGUUUUUUUAGUUUUAAUUUUUAUGACACAUGUAUUCCAGAUAGCUUUUGUUACCAAUAAUAAAUAUUAAUGCUAUACACAUAAAAGAGAAUGUAACUGUCUUACUGAUGCUGUUUAAUGUAGCAAUAAUGAUUAAUAUAUUAAUAAACUUUAUUAGAUUAUCGUACUUGAGUAUUUCAAAGAUAAAUUAAUACAUGGAAUAACUGAAAAUAAACAGUGACAAAGGCCUUUAUUUUUUAAUUUUAAAUUAUCUUAAAUAGAUUAGAGAGUAAUGAUAAAAUGUAUAGUCAGUUUAAAUUAAAAUAGAAAUUUAAGUAAUUACCAAUUGGAUAAUUGGAUAUUUUAUCUGUAACGUCAGAUGUUUAUUACCCUUAUUUAUAGAGGUAGAUGCUAAUUUUGGUUCAUUUACAUUAUUAUACUAAUUCAAG
rnacentral:lncRNA from 1 species